UACGGGGGGGGCAAGCGUUGUUCGGAAUUACUGGGCGUAAAGGGCUCGUAGGUGGCCAACUAAGUCGGAUGUGAAAUCCCCAGGCUUAACCUGGGAACUGCAUCCGAUACUGGAUGGCUUGAAUCCGGGAGAGGGAUGCAGAAUUCCAGGUGUAGCGGUGAAAUGCGUAGAUAUCGGGAGGAACACCGGUGGCGAAGGCGGUUCUCUGGGCCUUACCUGACGCUGAGGAGCGAAAGCGUGGGGAGCGAACAGG
rnacentral:rRNA from 1 species